GCCUGGGUGGCUCAGUCGAUUGAGUGUCUGACUUCAGCUCAGGUCAUGAUCUCGCCAUCUGUGAGUUCGAGCCCCGCAUCGGGCU
rfam:Felis catus isolate Cinnamon breed Abyssinian chromosome A1, whole genome shotgun sequence.